GUCUGCAGCUCGCUCUCUGCAACUCUCACAUGGUCGCCUAUUGAAGCUAAGCAGGGCUGAGUCUGGUCAGUAGCUGAAUUGGAGACCUCAUGGGAACACUGGGCUGCUGUUGUCA
rnacentral:rRNA from 1 species